AAUUGCACUCUUCACUGAUACUUAAGAACUUAAAAUUUUCAGUUCGUUCAUUUAGUUGCGACUUCUUAUGCACAGAUUGAAACUUUCUUCAGCAUUGUCGUUUAUUAUCAUUUGGAAUGUGUAACUGCUGUAUCGUAUUGUUGAUUGUGGCUGGCUGAUUCUUGGUUUCACUACUCUUGUCAUUCCAAAAAAGGUGUGAAGAAUUUGGUGCUAGAAUAUCUCAAAGAGGGCGGAGAUAUUGAUUGGGGCUUUCUUUUUCCUGUUCUCCAGAGUUUGAUGUGGCUAUAAGUUCUCUUUUCCUUCGAUUCCGAAGUGAUUCUUUUUGCUUGUUCUAAUUUUCUUUGUUCUUGCUUUAAUGUUGCGGCUGCUACUACUUUUGUUUGGCAGUACGUCAUGUCGUCGCGGUUUUAUUGGUAUUUAAGUUCACUCCUGGGGGCGAAUAAUCAUUUUGCGGCCUUUGGACUUCAGUUUCUGCGCAGAACAAUCUUUUGAAAGUAAAAACACUGGUUUUGGCUUUACCAUUUUGUGAUUGACAUUUAGGCAUUUUGAUAUUUUGAUUGAUUUAAGUUAAGAUUGCUGGAUUUGCGUCACCAAUUGGUAAUUUCAGAUUAAUUAACAUUGAAUUACUCGGAGUAAGUUGGUGGGCAUGUGAACCAGGUCCGUAGUCUCAAGAUUUUCCAGUUCUGUGAGGAUAUUUGAGUACGGAGUAACAUAUGCUUCUGCCGGUGAUAUUUGCUUUCUGGUUUUGUGAUGUGUAGUUUCCAAUUCCUUGAAGUUUUAUGGUAUACGGACGAGGAAGGUGUUUGAAAAUAUCGUUGAUGUUGGGCAUGUCGACUUGGUCUGCAAUUUGAUGUUUUUCCAGUUUUGGGCGGGUAUUUGAGCACAGAGUGACAUAUGCUUUUGCCGUUGAUAUUUGUUUUCGGGUUUUGUGACUUGUAGUUUCCUAUUCCAUGAAGUUUUUCUGAAACUGAUGAGGAAGGUGUUUGAAAAUAUGUCGAUGACCAGUUCUCAGGUGGAGGUUGUGAUUUGGGCUUUCUCGUGCUUGAGCUAGAGUUCUUGAAGUUGGUCUUUCUUCAGAAAUAAGUGAAAAUGAUUUUUCUUCUCCCCCUCUUUAUUUCACACGUUGUUUCGAAGUCUACUCUUUGCUGUUCUCUCGGACAUGUUCCCAUUCCUUGUUUUGAUUUAUUUUAUAGGUUUUGCUGUUCAUCGGCUUUUUACAACUUUGGGUACUUGGAAAGUUGAAUUCUCGACGUUGGUUUGUUUUUGUUUUUUAAAAUCAUCCUCUAAAUGUUGUCUCUUUACGGUUAUCUUGCUUGGUUAUCAUUAAUUUAAAAGUUUCCAUUGCUUCGUAUUUGACGUUUUGUGCUUGGAUGAUGUGUAUUUCAGGUUGCGGUUGCGCAAUUUUUUAUCAAUAUCAGCUGCGCUCAGCAUGUUUGUUCUGGUUUUUGUUUCUACCAGCAUCUAAUUGCACUCUUCAAUGAUUUUUAAGAACUUUAAAUUUUCAAUUCGUUCAUUUAGUGGGGCCUUCUCAUGCACAGAUUGAAUCGUUCUUCAGCAUUGUCGUUUAUUAUCAUUUGGAAUGUAUAACUGCUGUAUCGUAUUGUUGAUUGUGGCUGGCUGAUUCUUGGUUUCACUACUCUUGUAAUUCUGAAGAAGGUGUGAAGAAUUUCGUGAAACUAUAUCUGCAAAGAGGGCGGAGAUAUUGAUUGGGGCUUUCUUUUUCCUGGUCGACAGAGUUUGAUGUGGCAUUAAGUGCUCUUUUCCUCUCGAUUUCGAAGUGAUUCUUUUUGCUUGUUCUAAUGUUCUUUGUUCUUGCUUUAAUGUUGCGGUUGCUACUACUUUUGUUUGGCAGUACGUCAUGUCGUCGCGGUUUUAUUGGUAUUUAAGUUCACUCCUCAGGGCGAAUAACCAUUUUGCGGCCUUUGGACUUGUGCGCAAAACCAUCUUUUGAUGAUUAAUGCUUAUUGAAUUUCACGAAGUAAGUCGGUGGGUAUGUGAACAAGUUUCCAAUUCCUUGAAGUUUUAUGGUAUACGGACGAGGAAGGUGUUUGAAAAUAUCGUUGAUGUUGGGCAUGUCGACUUGGUCUGCAAUUUGAAGUUUUUCCAGUUUUGGGCGGGUAUUUGAGCACAGAGUGACAUAUGCUUCUGCCGUUGAUAUUUGUUUUCGGGUUUUGUGACUCGUAGUUUCCUAUUUAAGUUUUUGGGAUACUGAUGAGGAUGGUGUUUGAAAAUAUGUGGUUGACCUGUUGACAGGUGGAGGUUGUGAUUUGGGAUUUCUUGUGUUUGGGCAGGAGUGAUUGAAUUUGUUCUUUCUGCAAAAAUAAGUGAAAAUGCUUUUUCUUCUCCCCCCCUCUUUAUUUCACACGUUGUUUAGAAGUCUCUACGAUAUGCUGUUCUCUCAGAAAUGUCCCCAUUCCUUGUUUUGUUUUAUUUUGUAGGUUUUGCUGUGCAUCGGCUUUUUACAACUUUGGGUUCUUGCAAAGUUGGAUUCUCGAUGUUGGUUUGUUUUUGAUUUUUAAAAUCAUUCCUAAAUAUUGUAUCGUUAUGGUUAGCUGUCUUGGUUGUCAUUAAUUUAAAAGUUUCCAUUGCUUCGUAGUUCACGCUUGGUGCUUGGAUUGUGUGUAUUUCAGGUUGCGGUUGCGCAAUUUUUUAUGAAUAUCGGCGGUGCUCAGCAUGUUUGUUCUGGUUUUUGUUUCUUCCAGCAUCUAAUUGCACUCUUCACUGAUAUGCUUAAGAACUUAAAAUUUUCAGUUCGUUCAUUUAGUUGCGACUUCUUAUGCACAGAUUGAAACUUUCUUCAGCAUUGUCGUUUAUUAUCAUUUGGAAUGUGUAACUGCUGUAUCGUAUUGUUGAUUGUGGCUGGCUGAUUCUUGGUUUCACUACUCUUGUAAUUCUGAAGAAGGUGUGAAGAAUUUCGUGAAACUAUAUCUACAAAGAGGGUGGAGAUAUUGAUUGGGGCUUUCUUUUUCCUGGUCGACAGAGUUUGAUGUGGCUAUAAGUGCUCUUUUCCUCUCGAUUUCGAAGUGAUUCUUUUUGCUUGUUCUAAUGUUCUUUGUUCUUGCUUUAAUGUUGCGGUUGCUACUACUUUU